AUUGAACGCUGGCGGCAGGCCUAACACAUGCAAGUCGAACGGUAACAGGAAACAGCUUGCUGUUUCGCUGACGAGUGGCGGACGGGUGAGUAAUGUCUGGGAAACUGCCUGAUGGAGGGGGAUAACUACUGGAAACGGUAGCUAAUACCGCAUAACGUCGCAAGACCAAAGAGGGGGACCUUUGGGCCUCUUGCCAUCGGAUGUGCCCAGAUGGGAUUAGCUAGUAGGUGGGGUAACGGCUCACCUAGGCGACGAUCCCUAGCUGGUCUGAGAGGAUGACCAGCCACACUGGAACUGAGACACGGUCCAGACUCCUACGGGAGGCAGCAGUGGGGAAUAUUGCACAAUGGGCGCAAGCCUGAUGCAGCCAUGCCGCGUGUAUGAAGAAGGCCUUCGGGUUGUAAAGUACUUUCAGCGGGGAUGAAGGGAGUAAAGUUAAUACCUUGGCUCAUUGACGUUACCCGCAGAAGAAGCACCGGCUAACUCCGUG
rnacentral:rRNA from 1 species